GAUGAACGCUGGCGGCGUGCCUAACACAUGCAAGUCGAACGAAGCACCUUACCUGAUUCUUCGGAUGAAAGUUUGGUGACUGAGUGGCGGACGGGUGAGUAACGCGUGGGUAACCUGCCCUGUACAGGGGGAUAACAGCUGGAAACGGCUGCUAAUACCGCAUAAGCGCACGAGGAGACAUCUCCUUGUGUGAAAAACUCCGGUGGUACAGGAUGGGCCCGCGUCUGAUUAGCUGGUUGGCAGGGUAACGGCCUACCAAGGCAACGAUCAGUAGCCGGUCUGAGAGGAUGAACGGCCACAUUGGAACUGAGACACGGUCCAAACUCCUACGGGAGGCAGCAGUGGGGAAUACUGCACAAUGGGGGAAACCCUGAUGCAGCAACGCCGCGUGAGUGAAGAAGUAUUUCGGUAUGUAAAGCUCUAUCAGCAGGGAAGAUAAUGACGGUACCUGACUAAGAAGCUCCGGCUAAAUACGUG
rnacentral:rRNA from 1 species